rnacentral:rRNA from 1 species
UACGGGGGGGCAAGCGUUGUUCGGAAUUACUGGGCGUAAAGGGCUCGUAGGUGGCCAACUAAGUCAGACGUGAAAUCCCUCGGCUUAACCGGGGAACUGCGUCUGAUACUGGAUGGCUUGAGUUUGGGAGAGGGAUGCGGAAUUCCAGGUGUAGCGGUGAAAUGCGUAGAUAUCUGGAGGAACACCGGUGGCGAAGGCGGCAUCCUGGACCGGUAUUGACGCUGAUGCGCGAAAGCCAGGGGAGCAAACGGG